rnacentral:rRNA from 1 species
CAGCACCUCAAGUGGUCAGGAUGAUUAUUGGGCCUAAAGCAUCCGUAGCCUGCUUUGUUAGUUUUCGGUUAAAUCCAUAUGCUCAACGUAUGGGCUGCCGGGAAUACUGCAAAGCUAGGGAGUGGGAGAGGUAGACGGUACUCGGUAGGAAGGGGUAAAAUCCUUUGAUCUAUUGAUGACCACCUGUGGCGAAGGCGGUCUACCAGAACACGUCCGACGGUGAGGGAUGAAAGCUGGGGGAGCAAACCGGAUUAGAUACCCGCGUAGUCC